GAUGAACGCUAGCUACAGGCUUAACACAUGCAAGUCGAGGGGAAACGAUAGAGAAAGCUUGCUUUUUCUAGGCGUCGACCGGCGCACGGGUGAGUAACGCGUAUCCAACCUGCCCAUCACUUGGGGAUAACCUUGCGAAAGUAAGACUAAUACCCAAUGACGUCUCUAGAAGACAUCUGAAAGAGAUUAAAGAUUUAUCGGUGAUGGAUGGGGAUGCGUCGGAUUAGCUUGUUGGCGGGGUAACGGCCCACCAAGGCGACGAUCAGUAGGGGUGCUGAGAUGAAGGUGCCCCACAUUGGAACGGAGACAAGGUCCAAGCUCGUACGGGAGGCAGCAGUGAGGAAUAUUGGUCAAUGGGCGAGAGCCUGAACAAGCCAAGUAGCGUGCGGGAUAACGGCCCUAUGGGUUGUAAACUGCUUUUAUAAGGGAAUAAAGUGAGCCUCGUGAGGCUUUUUGCAUGUACCUUAUGAAUAAGGACCGGCUAAUUCCGUGCCAGCAGCCGCGGUAA
rnacentral:rRNA from 1 species